UCUGAUCAAGGUGUCACUGAGUACUAUUUGAUGGCAUGAGCCAAAUGUUUAUGGAAAUCAUAAGCCUUAAUGAGAAAUUAAAUGAAAUACAACCGUUUGCAUGGGUUGGGAUGAAUUUUCAAAUUGUGAAAUACUUAAAAAUGAUGGGAUAUUUGAAUUGUCUCCUUUUACUCGACUUUAGCUGAUUUAAAUGAUGUUUGUUUACUCAUUGAGAUUUUAUAAUCUCACCACCCUCAUUUCCACCCAUUUCAAGCUCAG
rnacentral:lncRNA from 1 species